AAUGGCAGGUCAGCAUACUGCCGUGAAUACGUUCCCGGGCCUUGUACACACCGCCCGUCACACCAUGAGAGUUGGGAAUACCCGAAGCCUGUGAGCUAACAUUUAUGAGGCAGCAGUCGAAGGUAGAAUCAAUGAUUGGGUGAAGUCGUAACAAGGUACC
rnacentral:rRNA from 1 species